AUUGAACGCUGGCGGCAGGCCUAACACAUGCAAGUCGAGCGGAUGAAGGGAGCUUGCUCCUGGAUUCAGCGGCGGACGGGUGAGUAAUGCCUAGGAAUCUGCCUGGUAGUGGGGGAUAACGUCCGGAAACGGGCGCUAAUACCGCAUACGUCCUGAGGGAGAAAGUGGGGGAUCUUCGGACCCCACGCUAUCAGAUGAGCCUAGGUCGGAGUAGCUAGUUGGUGGGGUAAAGGCCUACCAAGGCGACGAUCCGUAACUGGUCUGAGAGGAUGAUCAGUCACACUGGAACUGAGACACGGUCCAGACUCCUACGGGAGGCAGCAGUGGGGAAUAUUGGACCAUGGGCGAAAGCCUGCUCCAGCCAUGCCGCGUGUGUGAAGAAGGUCUUCGGAUUGUAAAGCACUUUAAGUUGGGAGGAAGGGCAGUAAGUUAAUACCUUGCUGUUUUGACGUUACCAACAGAAUAAGCACCGCCUAACUUCGUG
rnacentral:rRNA from 1 species